rnacentral:tRNA from 1 species
GGUUUUAAGUUAAUAAAACUAUAAGCCUUCAGAGCUUAAUAUAAAGAAAAAUUUUUAAACCUUGCC